AUGCACCGGGGUGCUACUGAGCCAGCAGGAUCCACGGGGCGGACUGGUGGACGCGGGCAGCCGGGUCCAGGUUGCUUGUCUGUCACUCAAGAAGGGGCGGGCACAGCUGCCGGUAGAGGGGAAAAACGCCGGCCGUCCCCGCCCCCCUAGUGGAGGCCUCUUAAAGAAACAGGACGCCUUUCCCCUGCGGGCUACAGGGUCUGAAGGAAGCAGCCGUGUGAUGGAGGGAGCACCGUGAUCCCUUCGCUGCAGAUGAGGAAACUGAGGCUCAGAGAGGGUCCGAGAUCUUACAGCUGGUGAGAGGCAGAGCAAGAUGCCAACCUAUGCCUGUUGGAUUCCAAAGUUUAUACUUUAAUCGUUCGUCUAGCAGAUUCUUACAACAAUCCUGGGAGGUGUGUAUUCAGCUGUCCCUUUGCAGAUAAAGAAACUGAUACUCAGCAAAGAGACGAUGUAGUGACUACCACUUAUAGGCCACUGCGCAGUCUGCAAAGCAGUUUUAAAUAUGUUGUUUCAUUUGAUCCUCGAAACAUCUUGGAAUUAAAGAUGAUUUUUGUUAGUCCUAUUUUACAGGUGAAUAAAGUGAGGCUUGGGGAGGUUGAGGCUUAGCCAUAGCUAACAUUGCUAAAGCUCUGGCAGGAGUUACUCUUCCUCCUUCUCACUGGCUGGACCCAGCCUUGACCUUGUGAUGAUGACGAUGAUGUGCUAGGGGACAGAGCUACAGCACAGGAGGUGCCAAAUGCUACCUGCCUACUUGGGACACUCACUUCAUACUCUUAUGUGAAAGCGAAAUGAUCUUCUCCGUUCCUUUUAUUAUUAACUUUGAUAGCAGGGAGGGCUGUUUGAGCCAACCCUGCACUCACACAACACUGAGGAAGAAAGGCUUAAAUUUUGUACCCUGGGUGCCUCAGUUUGCUUCAUCCUAGUCCUGGCUCUGCUUAAUAACACAUUUAUCCAAGGAAUGAAUCACUCACUUGAGAGCUUUACAAGACUGUGUCAUUUUUUUUUUCCCUGAUAUUGCCAGUGCAGGUUCUUUGAUUGCAAGUCUUAGGAAUCAAUUCUGGCUAAAUUUACCCAAAAAAGAUUUUAUUGGCAGGCUAGUGUUUAACUCACAGAGGUAACAGGAAGCUGGAGAAUCAGGCUUAGAAAAGGACAGAAAGUGGAGAUGCUUUGAGAGUUUAGGCAGGCAAGUGAAUCAAUUCCAUGUUUUUCUUCCCUUUCUUGACCAGAGUUUUCUUUGAUGAGUCAAAGUCCCUGGAGCAAGGGUUCGAUUGGCUGAGCUCAGGUAACAUGUCCACACUUUAGCUAAGGAGGGCAGGCAACUUGAUGGACAGCUCCACCAAGACUGCACAGAAGUGCAGAGUUCCAGAUCCCUCUUCCUCCACCUCAGCUGCUCCCAGUGGGCAACUAGGUUCAGGUGCCCUGUUUUCAGGCUGGAAUCAAAUAGGAGGAGUACCUGCAGCUGAAUGUCAUGAUUACACAAAUGCAAUUGUGUCUGGCACGUGGGAGAGGAUAGUAGAGAUUCUGAGCUUUGUAACCUUGCAGACCUUUGUGCUAUUUACCAGCUGUUUGUCCCUGGGUAAGUUACUAGAUCUCUCUGAGCCUGUCUCCUCAUGUGUACAAUGGGGAGAAUAACAGUACCAGCCUUAAUGGAUUGUUUUGAGAAAUGAGAUCACUGUAAAUAUACAACAGUUAGCAAAAUGUCUGCAUUUAAGUGCUCAAUAAAUUGUAAAUUAUAAAAUUUUAAAAUUA